AGAUUGCCUUCACUGUAACCAUGAAGUGGUACCUCUGCAGUCCAAUGAAGUGUCUGUUAUCAGAAGAAAACGUGUACUUUUGGAGGACUAUAUAGUGAUCCUUCAUGGUCAUACAAUGAUCCUUCAUGAUCCUCAAACAUGAUGAGGUACCUCCCCUACCAGCUUUCCCACUGGGACAAAGAUUACUGACAAAAAAGAUGGAAAAGGUGGAGUGAAGACAACAAAUUUCUGGACAAAGCAUGAACAUUCUCACAGUGUGUAUCAAGAUGUGUGCAAAUAGUUCCCUCAGAAUUCAGAGGGAGUUGGUCACAGCCUGUCACUACAGAACAGAAUAUGGUGAUCAGUCCAGGCAGAAAAGAACAAGAUGUUAAAGUGUUUUUACUUCUACAUCAACUUACCAAAGUAAAUUGAGGUAAGAAAGUUUUUUUUUUUUUCUUCUGAUGAAUGUAAGCUUAAACAUCCUGGCAUAGAUUUUGACUAAAUCUCUUAACAUCCAUGUGAUAGACUCUACCUUCUGUAAACUGACUUUUAUCCUUUUCCACACACAAAGAGUUUAUGCAUUUGUAUGCCUAAUGAGCACCUAUUCAUGACCAAAAGUAACUGGGAACAACAGCUGCUUGUUCAAGGGAGUGCAUAGAUUUUUACUGCUCACUAUUUGUGCUUUCUUAUACCAGA
rnacentral:lncRNA from 1 species